rnacentral:rRNA from 1 species
AGUUUGAUCCUGGCUCAGGAUGAACGCUAGCGGCAGGCUUAACACAUGCAAGUCGAGGGGCAGCGCGAGUAGCAAUACUUGGCGGCGACCGGCGCAAGGGUGCGUAACGCGUGAGCAACAUGCCCGUAUCAGGGGGAUAAUCCAGGGAAACUUGGUCUAAUACCCCAUAGUAAUUUUGUAAGGCAUCUUAUAAGAUUUAAAGCUUUGGUGGAUACGGAUUGGCUCGCGUGACAUUAGCUGGAUGGUAAGGUAACGGCUUACCAUGGCUAUGAUGUCUAGGGGUUCUGAGAGGAAGGUCCCCCACACUGGAACUGAGACACGGUCCAGACUCCUACGGGAGGCAGCAGUGAGGAAUAUUGGGCAAUGGAUGGAAAUCUGAUCCAGCCAUGCCGCGUGAAGGAAGAAGGUCCUAUGGAUUGUAAACUUCUUUUGUAUGGGAGCAAUAAGGCCUACGAGUAGGUUGAUGAGAGUACCAUACGAAUAAGCACCGGCUAACUCCGUGCCAGCCGCCGC